AUCCGCUCCUCCUGUUCCUGCUUCACUUCUACUAGCUCGUCGAUUCUCUUGCAGCAGGUUGUUGUCCAGCUCUGCCUGCAUGUAGUUUUCAGCCGUGUGAAGUCGAACGGUUUUGAUGAUUCCAUCUGCCGGCCUGCUCGAUCUAGGUUCCACAUGGGAAGGCAACCUUUGGUCAUCGUGGCCAACGCAGAGCUCUGCAAGGAGGUCGGCAUCAAGAAGUUCAAGAGCAUGCCGAACCGGAGCUUACCUUCGGCCAUCGCCAAUUCCCCGAUCCACCUCAAAGGCCUCUUCUCGACAAGGUAGCAACCAAAGCUAGCUAGCAUCUGUCCUGGCUCAGCAGUUAAAGGAAAACAUACAUGUCUGCAAGCAGAAAAAUGUGUCUGGUGGUGAUAUUUAUAAUUUAUUACAGAGAAGAAAAUCCACUUAGAGCUGUGCAAAAAAAUUACAUUGACACGUGUAGAAGCGUGCGUGUAAUUGUGCAAAUGUGCAAUGCAUCAACGCGCGCGCGUGCUUUGUGUCGUCUCUGCCAGGG
rnacentral:lncRNA from 1 species